AGGUAGGAGCACAUUAGCACUAAUGUACCAGACCAUAUAAGAACUAUGUAGUUAAGCACACUUAAGUGAGAGCAGUUCUAAGAUGAGUGACCUCCUGGGAAGUUUCCAGGUCGUACACC
rnacentral:rRNA from 1 species